CGAGAACGAUCAUGAUGUUCUCUUUCCAUUCCAUAUAGUUUGUGCCGUUAAGCACAGGGAUGCUAUUGAUGUUGGCAGAUAGCGAAGCAGCAGAAGAAUUAACUGAAAAUAGAACAAAAGUAUUACUUAAUACAUGCUUACAAUUACUUGAACUUUAACUUUACUUUAUAGAUUCAAAAUAGCCAUAUCCCAUUACAAGAUACCUAGCACAACAUUGAUUUUAGUCUUUGGACAGAAAAACAACUUGUAAGUGGUACUCUUGGUGUAGUGAUCAAACAN
rnacentral:lncRNA from 1 species